rnacentral:rRNA from 1 species
GUUGGUUUCUCCCUUCUGACGAACCAUGAUGUCAUUUAUUUGGUGUUGUGGGGAAUCAGGACUGUUACUUUGAAAAAAUUAGAGUGUUUAAAGCAGGCUCACGCUUGAAUACAUUAGCAUGGAAUAAUGAAAUAGGACGUUUGAUUCUAUUUUGUUGGUUUCUAGGAUCGACGUAAUGAUUAAUAGGGAUAGUUGGGGGCAUUAGUAUUCAAUCGUCAGAGGUGAAAUUCUUGGAUUUAUUGAAGACUAACUACUGCGAAAGCAUUUGCCAAGGAUGUUUUCAUUAAUCAAGAACGAAAGUUAGGGGAUCGAAGACGAUCAGAUACCGUCGUAGUCUUAACCAUAAACUAUGCCGACUAGGGAUCGGAUGAUGUUAAUUUUUUAAUGACUCAUUCGGCGCCUUACG